rnacentral:misc_RNA from 1 species
CAUAAACAGUCGAAGAAAAUUAACAGAGACGGAUUGAUGAUGUUGCAGAUGGAAGGCCUAAGUGAUGAAGAAAGGAAAGCUCUUAGGGGAAGCAAAUUCGCUCCUCUCCCUCCUCCCUCUUCUCGUUCCCACCAACCCAGGUUGGCUCACCCCGGUGGACCAUUGAAGACGAACAAGGCAGCGGCACUAGCCAAGUUUCUGGAGAGGAAACUUCAAGACCCUAAUGGGUUAACUUCCAUCAAUCCCAGCCUUAUUGAAUCAGCGGUCAAAAGCGCCAAGGACACCGUCUUUUCCAGUGGCACUUCAAAAUCUGGAAGAAUUAUUCAUCAUGUUACUUCGUUUGGUGACUCUGAGGACUCUGCUGAAGAAGGGAAAGCAGAAAAUCCUUCGUUGAAGAAACAGAAGAAGAAAAAGAAAAAGAAAAAUAAAAAUAAACAUAAGAAGCGAAAGAUGGUGGAUGAUAGUGAGCAUGUGAAGUUGAAGAAACCCAAAACUAAGUUGAUCAAGUGAAGG